rnacentral:rRNA from 1 species
UACGUAGGGGGCAAGCGUUGUCCGGAUUUAUUGGGCGUAAAGAGCGUGUAGGCGGCCAGGUAGGUCAGCUGUGAAAACUCGAGGCUCAACCUCGAGACGUCGGCGGAAACCCUCUGGCUAGAGUCCGGAAGAGGAGAGUGGAAUUCCUGGUGUAGCGGUGAAAUGCGCAGAUAUCAGGAAGAACACCCGUGGCGAAGGCGGCUCUCUGGGACGGUACUGACGCUGAGACGCGAAAGCGUGGGGAGCAAACAGG